rnacentral:rRNA from 1 species
CCUACGGGUGGCAGCAGUGAGGAAUAUUGGUAAAUGGCCGGAAGGCUGAACCAGCCAAGCCGCGUGAAGGACGAAGGUGCAAAGGAUUGUAAACCUCUUUUGUCAGGGGACAAAAUCAGGCACGAGAGCCCGACCGAGGGUACCUGAAGAAAAAGCAUCGGCUAACUCCGUGCCAGCAGCCGCGGUAAUACGGAGGUUGCGAGCGUUAUCCGGAUUUCUUGGGUUAAAAGGGUGCGUAGGCGGACUGUUAAGUCUGCGGUAAAACCCCGGGGCUCACCCCCGGCCCGCCGUUGAAACUGGCGUUCUUGAGUUGUCGAGUGGUAUGCGGCAUGCGCAGUGUAGCGGU